rnacentral:rRNA from 1 species
CCCUUAGAUGUUCUGGGCUGCACGCGCGCUACACUGAUGCACUCAACGAGUUUUCGACCUUGCCCGAUAGGGCUGGGUAAUCUUUUUAAAAUGCAUCGUGAUGGGGAUAGAUUAUUGCAAUUAUUAAUCUUCAACGAGGAAUUCCUAGUAAGCGCGAGUCAUCAGCUCGUGCUGAUUACGUCCCUGCCCUUUGUACACACCGCCCGUCGCUACUACUGAUUGGAUGUUUAAGCGAGGUUCUCGAACUGCUAGCGACUUAGCUUCGGUGAGGUCGCAGUGUGGGAAGUGAACCUAGCUUUGGUGUCUAGAGGAAGUAAAAGUCGUAACA